CAAGCUGUAAAUACUCUCUGUGGAAGGACCACAUAGUUGAUACAGAUUGUAACAUGUUUUCUCUGCUCAGAAGUAGUGCCAUCAGCAACAUUAUUUGAAUGCACUCACUUCAGAAGACUGAGAAAGCAUGAGUGUUUAAAACUUGAAUCUAGACACAGGAUGCCUAAUUAUUUAACUAUAAAAAAACAUUGAAUGUUAACUGUGUUGCCAGUUCUGCUGAGUCUUCCCUAUUGUUGUCUGGUUUAGCAUGAGUUGCUGUUUUUUCUGCUUCUUAUUUUAAUUUGCUGUCUUCCACUUUACUACAGUGUCAGGCUGUAUAUCCUAAUGGUCUUGGUAUCAAGUCUAGCUGUAACAGACUAAAAGCAUCUCUUGCAAGAAUUACAUGUGUAAUAGCCUGUGUUUUAGCAGUGACUACUGCUGAAUUUCAUUUUAUUCCUGGCAUUGCUCUUUUAAAAUACAUGAACCUAGGUUUUUGUCAAAUUAAUAACUAAAGAGUUUGUAUUUCUGAUCAGUGGAUACACUUAAGAAGUAAAUGCUUUUUUAGUUGAAGUGCUGAAUGUGCCUGCCUAAAAAGCCAGGUUUUGUAUAGUGUAAAAUAAAACCCAGAAAGGUUAAACAAUCUCAUAGUGAAUCUUUUCCUAUUAAAUGUAGGCAGUCUGAAUACUACUAGUUCUGCUUUGAUUUAUAAGUAAUCAUUUAACUGCAAGACCUACCUCUUAAGCUACUUGAAGGAGAUGGUUCAAUUUAAGCAUUAACAAAUUGACUUUAAUACAGAAUACCUACAUGGACCUUAUUUUUGUGCAUACUUCAGCAUGAGCAGAUGUAUACUGCCUGUUAGAUGCUUAGAAAUCUUAGAGAAUUUAGCAUGCUAGAAUAUUAGACUUCUCAAGAUAUGGAAUUUAAAAAAAUUUUAUAGCUGCAAAAAGAAGAUACCAAAGUGUUAGUGCCUGAACCUUGCUUUGAACCAGAACAUACUCAGUUUGGGGAGGCUGCAAGAUCUUUAGUCAGAUACAAGAUGAAUGAAGCUGCUCAGAGAAGAUAUUUUGGAGUAUUUUACUGUAAAUCUGUGUUUGGCAGCAGAUUUUUCAGGAGCUUGCACUUCUAGCAAGUUACCACCAAAAAUCAGACUAAUCAAAAAUAUGAAAAUACUAAUAUAUGCUAAUAAAAUACUUACAGACACUUCAAUACAUUAAACAAAAAGUAAUGAAUCUGUAUUUUUCUGACCGUAUUUCCAAAACCAAUUAUUUUGGCUGCAGUUUUCACCUUGAGGAAACAUGGGAAAAAAUAACAGCCUAAAUAGUUAUCAGAUUUGAUUAGUAGGUGAAUACUUGAAUCUUACAACAAAGCAAAGGACAACCUAAAAUAUAUUACUCUUCUGUGAUCUCAAUUUUUAAGCAGUUUUUCUUUAGAGUUGAUUGGAAGAUGGAAAAUUAAUUAUUUUUGCAUCAGAGCAUUAUGGAGAUAGAAGAUUAAAAAACAGGGACAUGUUAAAGGUGGAAGUUGAUUAGUAACAUAAAGAUGGCUUCUUCUAAACAUUGACAACUUUUCCU